rnacentral:rRNA from 1 species
GAGAUAAACCAAAAGUUAGGUUAUAGUGUCUAAGUGCGUGUUAACCUAGAACCCACAAAGGGUGUUGGUUGAUUAAGAUAGCAAGAUGGUGGUCAUGGAAGUCAAAAUCUGUUAAGGAGUGUGUAACAACUCACCUACCGAAUCAACUAGACUCGUAAAUGGAUGGCACUUAAGUGUGCGACCUAUACCUAGUCGUUGGGGCAUGGCCUAAGCCUCGAUGAGUAGAAGGGCAUGGCGAUCACUAUAAAACCCAAGGAGUGAGCUUGAGCGAAAUGGCCAUCAGUGUAGAUCUUGGUGGUAAUAGCAAAUAUUCAAAUGAGAACUUUAAAGGUCGAAGAGGGGAAAUGUUCCAUAAGAACGGCACUUGCACAUGGUUUAGUCGAUCCUAAGAGAAAGGGGGAAGCCCAUUUGACAAUGUGUCUAGCAUGAGCUUCGAAAGCGAAUAGGGUUAAAAUUCUUGAACCAGGAACCGAUGGCUGAUGGCAAUGUUAGGGAGUCCAAAGAUGUCGGCAAGGGCCUCAGGAAGAGUUAUCUUUUUUGUUUAAUGGCUUGCCUACCAUGGAACCAGCAUAGCCAGAGGUAAGGUCCAACUACUGGGAGGGCACCGCACGUCAUGUGGUGUCUAGUGUGACCCCAAUGGCCUUUGAAAACCUGGAGGACCAAGUGCCAUCUGCACCCGAUUGUACUCGUAACUGCAUCAAGUCUCUAAGGUGAACAGCAUAUGGUCGAUGGAACAAUGUAGACAAGGAAAGUCGACAAAAUGGAUUUGCAACCUCAAGAAAAAAAUUAGCUAUAAGGGUUGGGCAAAGAGGUCCCAGUCCCAAACUCAUUGACUACUAGUGCUUCACUUGAGCUACUUUUACGAUAAGAACGGGUCUUCACAUGCCAACCAAGGGAUGGAUUGGAAAGGGCUCGCUCGAGGGCCUUUCCUGGGCGACGAACAAUCGACUCAAAACUAGUAUGGACAAGGGGAAUCUAACUGUUUAAUUAAAACAAAUUGCGAUGGUCCCUACAAAUAUUUACAUAAUGUGAUUUUUGCCUAGUGCUUUGAAUGUCAAAGUGAAAAAAUUCAACAAAGCACGGGUAAACGAUAGGAGUAACUAUAACUCUCUUAAGGUAGCCAAAUGCCUCAUCAUCUAAUUAGUGAGUGCAUGAAUAGAUUAACAAGAUUGGCACUAUCCCUGUCUACUAUCCAAGGAAACCACAGCCAAGGGAAUGGGCUUGGCAAAAUCAAAGGGGAAAAAAGACCCUAUUGAGCUUGACUCUAGUCUGACUUUGUGAAGUGACUUGAAAGAAGUAGGAUAAGUGGGAGUCUUCGGGCAAAAUUGAAAUACCACUACUUUUAAUGUUAUUUUACUUAUUUUAUUAAUUGAAGGUAAGGCACGACCCCUUUUUUGGACCUAAGACUAACCAUAGUCAAUCGAUUUGGGUGGAAGACAUUGUCAGGUAGGGAGUUUGGCUAGGGUGGCACAUCUAUUAAAAGAUAAUGUAGGUGUCCUAAGAUGAGCUUAAUGAGAACAGAAAUCUCACAUGGAAUAAUCCUUUAGACCUUUGAAAUUUAAAGCUAGAGGUGUCAAAAAAGUUACCACAAGGAUAACUGGCUUGUGGCAACCAAGCGUUCAUCAUGACAUUGCUUUUUGAUCCUUCAAUGUCAACUUUUCCUAUCAUUAUCAAGCAAAAUUCACUAAGUGUUGAAUUAUUAACCCACCAAUAGGGAAUGUAAGCUGGGUUUAGACCGUUGUGAGGCAGGUUAGUUUUACCCUACUGAUGGUAGCAUCGUAAUAGUAAUUCAACCUAGUGUGAGAGGAAUCGUUGAUUUUCGCUAUUGGUCAUUAUGCUUGAUUUAAAAGCUAGUGGUGCAAAGCUACCAUGUGCUAGAUUAUGAAUGAAUGCCUUUAAGUUAGAAUUCAAGCUUGAAGCGACAUACGCACCCAUUGCCUGAUGAUAAACCUAUAGUAGGGGCCCAUGGCCCCUAAGGGUACAUGUCGUAGGUGCAUCCCCUGUAAAGGACAAGCCAUAUGGGCCUCCUUGGAUCUCAAUUCCUAUCGAGCUACAGGUAAAAUCCUUUGUAGAUGACUUAAAUACAUAAUGGGGAAUUGUAAGUGGUAGAGUGGCCUUACUGCCACGAUCCACUGAGAUUAAGCCUUUUGUUGCUUCAAUUCAUCCCUCCCUCCUUC